CAGCUCUCUUUAUCCUAAUCAGCAUCACAGGUAAAUAAAAUGAGACAAGGAGAACGCAACUGAAAAGAAAAAUAUUUGUGAACUUUUACAGACUACUAGCCUGAACGCUAAUGUAGAACUAAAUGAAACAAUUUGAGAUGAAUGGGCAAAACACAUAGCUGAAAAGGCUACUCCAGCAGAAUAAAAAUAUUACAAGCAGGUGUCACUGAUUAAUGUGUGAUGUGUGUAUGCAUCUGUGGGAGUUCCAUUUCCGAGGAAGAACUUCAUGCCUACCAUAUCAAAUGUUGUGCAUAAGCCCAGCAAUAGAAAAAUAUACAUCUCCAUGGACAAGAAAAUACAAUCCAUCAGAUAAGUAUUUUUCUCCCACUCUGCUUUUUAUGUAGCUAAGGCACAAAAUCAUUGAUGAGGAAUAAGCCACAAUUGCAGUGCUAGAGGACUUGAUAAGAUGUCUCUCAUCAUCAAUAUGACAAAAAUAUGACACGUCUCUUGCAUUCAUUUUUUCUGAAGCUUCUACAACAUAAGGGAUGAUAGUUGCCUCAUUGUUUUAUGUGGCAUGAAUCCAGCUCCAAGGAGAAAAACUACAAGGUUAAAGGGGUGCUCUCUCUCAUCUAGCAUGGAGUUGCUGUCUGUGGCAGUGAUAUGAGAACAAUAUGUAAAUAGCUUCCAAAUGGAGUUACUCAUUAAUGCAGACAGUUCUGAGAGUGAAAGCAAACAGCAUUUGGCAGCAAGAACUUUUUUUUUUUUGAGAAUGUCAUUAAGGAAUUCAGACUGCAAACCACAAAGUGAUUCAUAUCUCAGCCGACUAACUGCUCUGCCUCUGUUUCUUUCCUGUCCACUAAGCAUAAAAAUAUCAUUUUGGAUACAUUUCCCUAAAUUACUGGUCCUGCUGCUGGCAUGCCACCACUUCAUCAGAAGGCUCGUGCCAGUUUCUGCCCACUUGGAAGGACUUCUCAGACAUCUCUUGUGGAAGCACAGAAGAAGUGAAGUAGGCAAACAUGAAGUUAAAAUGCUGAACCAAUGUAGGUUACUUUCAGUGCAGAAGAAAGGAGAAGGUAGACAAAGUACUACCUAGUUGUGGGAUAGUGGUGGAGGAUUCAUAGCACCUGGCCUUGAUUAGCCUGCAUCCUCACUACAAAUUAGGUGGGCUGCCAGCUUGGGCUGAAGCAAAACCCAUGCUCUAGCUUAUGUCCUCAGCUGUACCUGCUAACCUGGUUUUAAAGAGCCUUAACCCAGAUGAGAGGCUUUUCUGCAUGGAUAGGAGGUGGUUUAGGGGUAACCCCAUGGUUAGAAUGUGGGCUAGCUCUUCAUUGAAGACAAACUUAGGGAAUAAAAUAAUCAUCUUGAUACACAUUGGUGCCUUUGUUGGCAGUCUCAGCAGAGAGCUCAGGAAACAAAUGAGCAUGGAGACUAAACUAUGCUCAGCAGGUAUAUUGGAGGGUUGGUGUGGGGAACCUUGCACUGCUACUGCCCUGAUCAUUCAGCUGUUCAGUGGUUGUGGGGCUUCAGUCUCCACUGCCAUCAUGCACACCCACCAGUUCAAAACCUCCCCAAUUUUAAAGCUAACUCUCUUUUGUUACUUGGCUAAAUUUUAAUUCAAUUAAUACUUUGUUUUUUUAAAAUCUGUUUUUAAUGUAAGGGAAAAAGCUAUGACCAUGACUGCUUAACUGUUGGUAUACUUAACUUCAGAUUGCAGAAGUAAAUUUGAUAAAAAAAAAAAUAGUGAAUAGAAAGAUUCUUAACUUAGGAAGUAACCUUAGCUUUCUGUGGUCUUCACUAGUUAGCAUGAUAUGAAAAUGAGUAACAUAUGAUAUGAUUUUAUGUCCUUGUCUGUAGGAAACAUAUCAUAGUUUAAGUGGUUUGGUGGAGAGGUUUUCAUAUUGAAUGUGGUCUUUGUUUAAGAGUGGCAGCUAGGUCUCAGUUUUCUUCAUUUUUUCCUAGAUCGUACUGUCAAGUAAUACUGUGUAACUUGUCUAAAGCAACACAUGUUGCCAUGGAUGACAAAUACAUGAUGUUUGACUAGAAUCCAUUCCCUUAGCAUGAACUUGUAUUGUCCAGUGUUGAUUAAAACUGGAGACAGAAUCCUAAACCACACUUGUAUUGCUGUAUAAGAACCCGACAGUGCCUCUCAAACCAACACAAAAACAUUGCCUAAAUGUACUGCUGCUGGAGUUAGCUUAAAAGCAGCCCUGAGACAAGAUUUUUCAUAAUAGCUACCUAAAGUUCAGCUCCCAAGCCCAGAUUUAGGGACCUAAAUAAGUACCCAGAAUUUCAAAACUGUUCUGCACCGUCUAGCUCCCAUUGACUUCAGAGGCAGCUGCUGAGUGCUCAUCACUUUUGAAAACCAGGCCCCUUUUAAGCACCUGAAUAAAAAUAUGGGAAACUGCCUUUAGGCAUCCAUUUUAAAACCUUUGGUCUAAGUCAGGGAUCGG